GUCCACUACUGUCUACCCACGUGUUGUCCGUCGCAGGACAGUGACGUCACACGCGUGAACAGCUGAUCGUGUCUCUUUAACGUCGCGCCACGAAUCCCACGCGAGUUUCACCUUGUUACGAACCCGGAGAUCCACGGAAACAACCGAGUCUAAACCCAAUACUUGCUCGGAGUCGGAACAGAGAAGCUUCUAUAGAUCCAGGUUCCCUGUGCAGGACGGGUCCCGCCUACAGCAGAGGCUGAAGAACAUGGGACUGGAGGACCGGACCCCGACACGACACCAACACUCCGACCCGUCUUGUUCCAGAACGCGCCGGGGCUUCCGCUGCACGGAGAAAAACACCCUUCCCACCGCCUUCCAGGAGUGUGAGGAGAAAAGGAAAGCCACAGAUCUGAUGGACAGGCAGGCAAAGCGGUUUCACGUGGACGCAGAUGAAAACAGGAUGAGGUCAGACGGAGAGGUCGAUAACGUGGACUGUUCGCUUACAUCUACCAGUGCAGAGUUUUCCCUCCUGGAAUCAGGGAUCCACUUCCCCUUAACGUUCCUUCAGACGGUAGAGAACGAGGAGGAGAACACACAGGUUCUAGUGAUGACUGAGGACCAGGACCAGCUGCUGACCGCCAUUGCCUCGGCUCUGUCGGCCCACGGCCACCGUCUGGUCCUGACCCACGGGUUGGAGGACGGUGAGUCUGAGGGUCAGGUGAUCUCCCUCUACCAGACGAGUCCACAGCUCGGCUUCUCCUCCGACACCGUGUUGGCGUCAGCUCUGAGCUCACAUCCAAUCACGUCCACUCUGCCCAUCGUGUCCAAUCACGUGGCUCCGCCCACUAUCAGUAAGGACGAGGGAGACGAGGAGCGGUCGGAGGACGAAGACCCAGAACCGUCACUGGAUCAGAAACUGGAGGAGCACAGCUACCACAGGAGCAGCGUGACCAAGGAGCAGCUGCAGCGUACGGUGCGUGAGCUGCAGCAACAGGUCAAAGUUCUGCAGCAGCAGCAAGUAGAGCAGCUUCUGUGUUUAGAGAACGCAGUGACUCAGCUGAAACACAACGACCUGCUCAACCAGGAGAGACUGCAGCUGCUGGAGAGGCUUCUCAAGAGCUUCAACACAUAAGAAACAGAACUUUGAUGCAGUAAUACAGCUCCAUCCAGGGCCGUAGCUCCACAUUUUGGGCCCUGGGUAAAAACCAUCGUGUUGGGCCCCUAUUGUAAGUUAUUUACACUUCUUUUUUUUUCUGCACAGAAGCUAUAAGUAGUAUUCUUGCAGAUUUCUUUUUUCUUCAUAAUAAACUAAUGACUCCAUAGCCA
rnacentral:lncRNA from 1 species